AUGCUCGAUUCGGCAGCACAUAUACUAAAAUUGGAACGAUACAGAGAAGAUUAGCACGGCCCCUGCACAAGGAUGACAUGCAAAUUCGUGAAGCGUUCCAUGUUUUA
rnacentral:snRNA from 1 species